UUCAUUUACAGUAACGCAAUCAAUACACUUGAAUUCUCUUGCCCAGUGCUUAAGUCUAAAAUCAAUCACUAACUUGACAGUUGGAUAGCUUUUGGCCGGCACACACCCCCAGCCUACGAUUUGCUUAUGGUUGUUUCACUGUUUUGUAGGUUAUCCUAGACAACACGGUUUUGUGCUCAACUGCAGCUCACGAAGGUGAGAAUAUUUGGUUCCAACAAUUAAAAAAUAAGACUUGAAGUUAUGUGGUGGAAACAAAGCUUAGAAAUGUUUAUGAGAUGCCUAACUAAUGAUAAUGAUGAUGCUAAGCCAUAUUGGAACCAAAUUUGCGCACCUCUAUGAACAAUGGUUGAGUGAAAAUCUGAGUAAACCUGAGCAACCUGCAAAAUAGUAAACAACUAUGAGCAAGCCUAAGACCACUGAUGAGGGGGCUGUGUCGCCCAAAGGUUCUUCAACGAUCAAGUUGGUGAAUGAUUUUAGGCUCAAGCAGUAGGCAAGAGAAUUCAAGUGUUUAGAUUGCGUUACCAUAGAUGAAUCAUAGGCGUGAGUAUUUAUAUUGUGGGGAGAGAGACCAUUUAAGAUAGAAUCCUCAUUCUAAGACGGGAGAAACCUAAAGGAUAUCUAGAAGUAGAUAUUGCACCCUCUUAGGAGUUGUGAUUGCUUGUGACGCACACCAUUCCCUAAUUAGUAGGAACUCUAAGACUUAUAGGAUCUAAUUGUGUCCAUAUCCGGAUCAGAUCACAUGUCUUACAUAACAAGCAUGGUCAUUCAGUUAAGUCGGUAGGACUCCGCUUAGUGCCUCGGAGUAGAGUGAUGGUGGCACCGUUACUCCAUCUGAUAUAGCUUCGCUCGGAGCUAGUGAGUCCACGACCAGACUUUUGAGGUAACUGUAUUCGGAUCAGCCUUACUCCGGCCUUGGAAAAUCAUGUCCCACAAGCCAUACUAGAAAGAAGAGGCUUAUGGGGGUAUUCAAGUUAACCAAAAUGAUGUUGAAGAUGAUGAAAUUGUGGGAUAAGCUCUCAUGCAAUUGCGAUUGUGUUUUUUUUUUUUUUUUUUUUUUUAUAUAGAAAUUUAGUUGUGGAAGUGAUGUGAGUCAUUAUAAUUUGUUCAAUGUCCAUGGCAAAUGUUAUGAGUUAACAAAGGCAUGCAAAUUGUUUCUUUAUCAUAAAAUACUAUAUUAAGUUAUACGCCUUUUUGCUCCAUGGUUUUAUUUUUAUUUUUAUGGUCCAAUCUUCUCCAUAUGUAUGCUAAGUUAGAUGAUCUAUUUAUUGUAGAAUAUUAAAUUAAGCAUCAAACUUAUUUCGAGAAUAUUCCAAUGACACAUGUGAUCAUUGGUAAAUAAUUGAGUCAAACAAAACCAUAUGUCUUUAAAACUUCAUUACGAAAAAGAAAAAAGUUUGUCGAAAAAAAUAUGAUCACUUCCAACAACAACUAAUCACCCUCAAAAUAUAAAAGCAUUACCGGAAAAUACUAAAUCAAUUAUGUUAACAGGAGUAAACCCUGGAAAGAACUUUAUUCGUCGUUAAUACAACUGGCGCCAAGUCUUCCUGCCAAACAAAAGUGCAUUUCCAACAAACCUUGGGACUUUUUUCGAGGACAUUAUGUGCAUUGGUAAUAAAAUUUUGUUUCAUACCAUGUUACUGAUGACCCAUAUUUUGUGGUCGCAAAAUGUGCUUUUUAUGACGGCUUUUGGGGUCCUCGGAAAUUCUUCAUCACUAAUGACUACUUUUUUUUUGUAGUGAUAUUCCUUUAUCCCUUCUCAGCCGACACUUCAUCUUCAUCGAGUCUAGGCCUUUUUGAUUCUCACUAGGACUCUAAACCCAGCCCUAUUACGAGAUUUAUUCAUCUUUAUCUAAUCACACAAGCAGUUGAUCCUUGGGACAAUUCGUAUUUAUCCAAGCUAUUCUAAUCUUUGGCAAUUUUAAUUUGUAUAAGACUCAACCGAGCCACCCUAUACUUAAUCUCUUCACCAGUCAUACCUUCACAAGAACUAGGUCGUACUGAUCCUAUUCGUGAGUUAAAAGCCCACUAAACUAACACACAAAUUAAACCCUAUAAAUUAUGCAAUUGUAGUACGAGUAAGUAGGGAUCGUUCUAUUCCAGGGAUUAGAAGAGAUGCUAAUCAACACAAAUUAAACUUAUAAAACUGAAAACUAAAUUAAACUAACAACAAAACAAUGACUGGGGGAAUUGUAGACGAAUUUAAUGAGAACAAAAGUAAAUAUCAACAAGUAAAUUAAGUUGUGAAUGAAAUAUGGGUGGGAGGAUAGCUAGAGGAUUCUUCUCCACACAUGAAACAUAUGCAUACAAAUUGAUUUCCAAUUAUUCUUCCUAUAAACCAUGAAUGACAAUGCCCUAAAUUAACUGUGAACAACACUAAUUAACUCUCAGAUUUUCCUAAGUUCAUUGAAUUGGACUCAGCAACGCAAUCAAAUUAUUCUUCUUAAGUUCCCUAACUAUGAAAAACAUGAUAAAGAUACAUCUCGAAGAUCAUUAAGUUCUGUAAAAAUUGAUAGGAGCAUAUUUAUGCGACUGAGUUAGCUUGGUCUCAUGCAUUUAUGUUGUUAUUUCUUAGUUAAUUAUGUAUUUUCAGCUAUUUUCGUGUGUUUGUAGGUCCAUAGGCCUUAUAAAUCAAUAAGAUGCAUUUUGGUGCAUUUUGGAGCAGUUUUGGGCUUGGAAUGAAUAGCACAUGCAUGGAGCAAGGUGGAUGGACGAAAUUGAAGACUAAAGAGGCUAGGAAUGUGUUAAAGAGAAAGAUGAAUUAAUGUAAAAAGGACAAAGAGCUCAGCCACAAAGGGGUGUCACUCCACCAUUCACCUUUCCAUCAUUGCCGUGCACCACUAUUGCACUCCCUUUGGAUUCCUAUGCCGUGCAUCAUCAUCCAUGUUCCCUCCAUUGACUCAUUUGUUGCAUCAUUCCACUUCCUUUCCUUUGUCUACCAUGUGCACAAUAUCGUUUCACCUUCUUGCACUCAUUGAUUCACCACUUACUCACCUUUCCACCCAUGCCAUGCAUAAUCACCCUUGUCCCCUUCAUUAUUUCAGAUUUCAUGCAUCAUUACAUUGAAUCAUUGCACUCAAUUGCUACACCAUUCCUUGUUCCCUCCAUCAUUUCAGAUUUUAUGCAUCAUUGCACUCAAUUGCUACACCACUCCAUGUUCCCCUCCAUUGCCAUGCACUUCCUCUAUAAAAGGAAGUGUGUGUAACAUAAAUUGAGUCAUACUUGGUUAGAUCAUUCACUCCCAUUUCAACACAACCUUCAUCCAAACACAUCCA
rnacentral:lncRNA from 1 species